rnacentral:rRNA from 1 species
AUUGAACGCUGGCGGCAGGCUUAACACAUGCAAGUCGAGCGAGCGGCGGACGGGUGAGUAAUGUCUGGGAAACUGCCUGAUGGAGGGGGAUAACUACUGGAAACGGUAGCUAAUACCGCAUACCAUCAGAUGUGCCCAGCUGGGAUUAGCUAGUAGGUGGGGUAAUGGCUCACCUAGGCGACGAUCCCUAGCUGGUCUGAGCGGAUGACCAGCCACACUGGAAUUGAGACACGGUCCAGAGGCCUACGGGAGGCAGCAGUGGGGAAUAUGGCACAAUGGGCGCAAGCCUGAGGCAGCCAUGCCGAGUGUGGGAAGAAGGCCUUCGGGUUGUAAAGUACGGUCAGCGGGGAGGCGUUACCCGCAGAAGAAGCACCGGCUAACUCCGUGCCAGCAGCCGCGGUAAUAC